AUAUUGGUCAAUGGGCGCAAGCCUGAACCAGCCAUGCCGCGUGCAGGAAGACUGCCCUAUGGGUUGUAAACCCCUUUCAGCAGGGACGAUUAUGACGGUACCUGCAGAAGAAGGACCGGCCAACUACGUGCCAGCAGCCGCGGUAAUACGUAGGGUCCAAGCGUUGUCCGGAUUUAUUGGGCGUAAAGGGCUCGUAGGCGGCUCAGUAAGUCGGAUGUGAAAACUCGGGGCUCAACCCCGAGACGCCAUCCGAUACUGCUGUGGCUUGAGUCUGGUAGGGGAACACGGAAUUCCUGGUGUAGCGGUGAAAUGCGCAGAUAUCAGGAGGAACACCGAUGGCGAAGGCAGUGUUCUGGGCCAGUACUGACGCUGAGGAGCGAAAGCGUGGGUAGCAA
rnacentral:rRNA from 1 species